AAGGUCUGUUGCUCUGCUCAUAUCUCCUCAGCAUCACUCUUCCAAGAAGUGCCAAAGCAUCCAGCUGUAUCCUUUGAAGGUGCCCUAGGUUCUCUGCCUGACAUUUUUAUCUAACUGACUCCUAAGGCAGGCACAAAGUAGUUUUCCAGGCAGCACCUUCUAAAGAUAAAGUCUGGGAGUUUAGGAAUAAAUACUUCAGUUUUCUCAUGCCUCAGUUGAGACAAUUGUGAUAUAUGUUUUAUACCAACUUGCAGCAGUCCAUAACAAAACUCAGUUAUAGUUGCCCCAAGAAUUAAACUGUUCAUUAAUGCAUCCAGUAUCCUUCCUUUCCCUGUCUUAUUUUCUCACUCCCUUACAUACGAUGCUGGGCAUCAUAUAACACUAAAUUAUUUGCAUUCAAAUUCUUGCGUUAGGGUCUCCUUCUAUGGAAAUCUACCCUAAGUUAUCCUUUUACUUAUAGUUCAUUUAUAUCUUUAUAUUUAAACACAAGGAGCAUAUUGUUGUAUUUUGUUUUAUUUAGUCUGAUAAUUUUCUUAAUUGAAAUAUUUAGUUCAUUUAUACUUAGUGUAUAUUCUGGUAUAUUGUAUGUUCUGUUUUCUCUCAGGUCUGUCUUCAUUAUUUCUCCUCUAUUAACCUGUUGGAUAUGAACCUGUUGGUUCUUUUACCAUACUUUUAGUGAGUAUCCUAGAUAUUACAAGCACCUUUAACUAAUUACAGUCUAAUAUAAAUUAGAUCUUUUACCACUUCCCAGAUGUUGCUAUGAUUUAGAACAUUUAUACUCCAUUUAUUCGCUUCCUGGAGUUUUGUUGUUAAUAUCAAGCAAAGUAACACAUGCAUUUUAGAGUUCACAAGACAUUAUUACCAUCGUUUGUAUAGACAAUUUUCAUUUAGGCUUAUAUACUUAAUGUACCUAUCUCAGUUUCCCUUAAUUCUCUCCUACAUUUUCAUUUUAUUGUUUAGGGUUAUUUUCCUAUUAUAGAAGAACUAACUACUUUUAGUGUGAUUCGGUUGACAGCACAUUUUCUCAGGGUUUUUUGUUUGCUUGUAUGGAAAUAGUUUUAUUUACCCUUUGCUCUUUUCUUCCUUGUAUAAGUGAUGUCAUUUGUAUUGAGGAAUAAUUUAUCUACAUCCAAAAGCACAAAACUUCAAUGUUCAGCUUGAUGAAUUUUUAUGUGUGCUAUCCAAAUCAAGGUUUUGAAAUACAGGGCCCUCCAGAAAUUUUCCCCAUCCUCUCCCACAGACAACACCUUCCUAUAGAAGUAAUUGCAAAUCUGUAUUUUCCAAUAAGUUAGUUUUGGCUAUUCUUGAACUACAUAUAAAUGGUAUCAUACAAAAUGUACUUUCGUUUCUAGCUUCUUUCACUCAAUGUUAAAUCUGUGGAAUCAUCCAUCUUAUGUGUAAAAGUUAUUUUAAUUGCUAUGUAGUAUCCUAUCGACUAUGUCGAAAUUUAUGUAUCCAUUCUAUUGUUGCUGGGCCCUUAGCUUGUUUUUCAUUUGGGGCUAUCACUAAUAAAACUGUGAUGAACAUCAUUGUUUAGGUGUUUUUUUUGUUUUGUUUUGUUUUUGUAGGACACAAAUACUUUUUUAUGUUGGUAUAUACCAUUUUUCAUUGGUUUGAGUUUGGGGAGGUAAUGGUUAUUUCCUUAAGUACUUUAAAAAGCAUUUUUAUAGUUUUAUAGCUUCUGAAGUUUCUAUGGAAAAGUCAGGUAUUAAGUCUUACUAUUUCUUCUUUGAAGGUAAAUGAGUUUUUUCCUCUGGCUGCUUUUAAAAUGAUUUUGGUUUUGAUUUUCAGUUGUCUAAUUAUGAUAUGCCUAGGUAUUAUUUCCUUUUUAUAUAUCCUGCCUUAAUCUGUGGCUCACUGCCUUUUGUCAGUUUUUGAUAAUUUUCAGCUGUUCGCUUUCAAGUAUUGCCUUUGACUUUUUCUCUUCCUCCUUUAUAUAGUUACAGCUAUAUACAUUAUAGACCUUUUUAUCCUCUCUCUUAUGUCUCUUAUGAUACUUCCUAAAUUUCUGUCUUUUCUUGAUCUCCUUAUGUUAGCUUGAAUGGUUGCUAUUGACUUAACCCUAGUUCAUUAUUAUGUUCAUAUCGAAUUCUUAAUUUAUAUUAUUGUAUUUUUUAGUUCCAGAGUUUUUAUUGCUUUUUUUAAUGUUUAAAUUCUAUGAUUACAUUCUUUAUCUUGUCAUCUAUUUUUUAAAAAAGUUUUACUCACAGUCGUUUUAAAGUGUAUAUCUGAUGGGUCCCAACCAGCUUACCUUCCAUGCUUUUUCUACUGUUUUUCCUUUUAGUCAUGCUUGUUGAUAUGUGCUGUAUGUGUGAUUGAAAGCCAGACAUUAUUUAUGGGAAUUUGUGGAAGCUCUUGGUGAUGUCAUUUUCCUCCAGAGUGAGUUCGCCAUAUGGUCAAUGUGGUAAAUAGAGGACAGAUCACAUGAAUACAGUCUGAGAUUGAGAUGACUUGAAGCUGAGUUACAACUUUGAUAAGGUGCCAUUUGCAUCUGAUUCAUCCCAUAUCUGAAGGGUAGCCCUCCACAGACAUUAUUUAGUUGGUACUUAUAUUGUAAUAAGUAUGAUUCCCUUUGUGCUGCAAGUAAGACAAAAAAUUAGCUUAAACAGGAUAAAUUUAUCAUCUUACAUAACAAGAAGUCCAGAGAUAGGAUGGCUUUUUGGGUACUUAUUGAUAAAUGCAUACUGGAUAUAGCUUGAGUUCUUUAAAAUUCUCUUGUCUUUGUUUUAAUGUUUGAUAUGGCUGCUGCAGUUUCAGGUCUCAUAGGCAGCCGACCUUAUGCUGAGGCAGAAAAAUGAAGUUGUCUUUAUAGUUCUUUGUGUAAGAAUGAAUAAUCCAUUUCCUAGGGGCCUCCUUCCCCUAAAGUCUUCCCUUCAUGUCUCUUCGGCAAGAAUUUUGUCACAUACCUAUGCCCCAGUGAAAUGACCAUGUUUGGCUUAGAUUAGUCAAGAGUAACCCUUUAGGCCUGGGAAGGGUCCUUUCUCUGAGCCCACAGCCAGGGGAAGUGUGAGUACCUCAACAAAACUGGGACCUGAUUAACAAGAAAGAAGGAAAUAAUAGGUAUCUGUCACAUGGAGAGAUAGCUAUCUCUCAUAUAGCAAUCCUAUGAGAAAGUAUAUUAUUAUCUAUCCAGUUUUAAUUAUGAAAAUUCUGUGAUUCACUGAAUUUAAAUACCCAGCACAAGGUCAAUUACUUAGUGGCAGAGUCUCUGUUAAAAUAAAUAUCUGAUUCCAGAUUUUGAGCUCUUUUUAUUGCCCUGAGUCUACCGACAAAGAUAGAAGUCUUCUUUUUUCAUAACCUGCCCUAUAAGAUGUUCAUAUAUACAAAUUGUGGUGGAUAAUACCAUUUUCUUCACCCUGCCUUUCCAUAUCUUAGCAGAAACAUCACAAAUGUUCAGUCAGGAUGAGAAUGCUCUGUAGAGAGCGUUAAUCACCUCUAAAUCAAAGAUUGCCUUAAACUUUAAUUCAUAUAUUUAUGUGGCCAUUCCUCAAUAAGUAAUGGACAUAAGCCACCUAGGGCCUAAGCAUUAUAAGGUGUUGCUAUUCAAGCUGAAACCACAAGGGACCAAUUAGAUUUUUCACUUCCAUUAGCAAAUAUGAUUUGUGUCCACUCUCUGCUGCCAUUCAUAAUUUUGAACUCCACUCUGCUUAAAAUAUUCCCUCUCAGCUUCAGCUGAAUGAUUUUCACAAGAAUCUGUCUCUUUGAGAAGUACCCUUAGAGUGAUGGAUUAGUAGCCCUGACAACAUUUCCUAGGUUGGGAACACAUUAGCCACUUCCAUUUCUCUCCUCCAGAGUGGUGGUGGGGAGCCGUGAAGCCCUGCCAUCAGAAGAGCUGGAGACCAGACCUCUUCAUGACAAAGCAGCUGGAACAACCACAAUUGCAGCCCUUGAGAGCAACUCCUGCCACAAGGUCAGAGGAGCAGCAUUUUAUAUUCCUUUGUAGAAUAAACUGAAUAUUUUUAUAAGAAACAAAUCUUCCACCCAUGAUCCUGUUCCCAUUAGUAGGUCAAGGCAAGAGCAAACCGGAGAGGCUUAAUUUACUUAGGAGACGUUCAGUAUAAAUACUUUAUUCCCUUGUGUGAUGUUCUUGUUCUGUUUGCUUUAAUACAUGCAAACAAUGAUGACUUACUCUAAGUUUUGAUAUGCCCAAAGACCAUCCCUCUAAUAACAGGGUGCUCCUCUUUGUCUGGGUGUCAAGAAGAUCCAGAAAGUCUACAUCAACACAGCAUGUAUUUUCCCUCCACUAAACUACUAUACAAUCUGUAAUUGCUAACCCCACAAGUUUGAAAGUUUACCUUAACAUUUGUGGGAAGCAGAUGGUUUUCAUACACUGCCAACCUGUUGUUAUUAAAGCAUUUUCUAAGAAUUGUUUCCCAGCCAUAGUCACUAGCAUAAUUAACCUUUCUGUGGAUUGCAUAAUCAAGAGAAUGAUCACCAAUCUGCCUGGAAGCCAAAUGCACCGCUCAAAAUUUGCUGCAGAGCAAGCUCUGUGUACUUGUAAAACCACACACAGCAAGAGGAAUAAUCCACUUUCGGGAUGUUUUCUGGUGGCCACCUUUCUUUCCUCUGUCUCCUCUUUCAUUCUAUGAAGCAGACUCUCAUUCUGGUCCUUUGUUCCUAUUUCUAUCUGCAACUAUCAUUCUGACUGGGUGCUGAGAUAGCUUUCUUAACAGAAUAGUAACCAUGCAAGAAGCAUGGAGGAUAUAAGAGAAAAUGACCUCAGAUUUGAGACUUUAGGAUCAGUACUUCAAAGCUCUUUGUUUCCCUACAGGCUUUAUCCAGCCUUUUUCUUUUUCUUUAAAAAAAAAAUUGUAGUUGAUUUACAAUGUUCUGUCAAUUUCUGCUGUGCAGCAAGAUGAUCCAGAUAUAUAUACAUAUAUAUACAUAUAUGUAUACAUAUAUUCUUUUUCUCAUAUUGUCUUCUAUUAUGUUCUGUCACAAGUGAUUGGGGGAGUUCUGUGUGGCUCAGUGAUAAUGAAUCCAACUGGUAUCCAUGAGGACGUGGGUUUGAUCUGGUGAACUAUGGUAUAGGUCACAGAUGUGGCUCAGAUCUGACGUUGCUGUGGCUGUGGCUCCAAUUUGACCCCUAGUCUGGGAACUUCCAUAUGCUG
rnacentral:lncRNA from 1 species